rnacentral:tRNA from 1 species
GCGGCCGUAGUCUAGCCUGGUCCAGGACACCGGCCUCCCGAGCCGAUAACCCGGGUUCAAAUCCCGGCGGCCGCACCA